AACGAUACGAUACCAGGUGUGUACAAUGAUGUUGAAAGACGGAGGUUGCCUGAAUGUCGAUGGAACGAGCAACCCCACUGGAGCAAGUCCAAAUCGUCCUGUUGAUGCGGCACGCAGAGGGACAGGUAGGAUGCUAAGUUGAAUGCGGUCACCGAAAGGCAACAAAAAGGGGCUUACUCCUCACUCCC
rnacentral:RNase_P_RNA from 1 species